CUGCAUCAUAGUCUCUAUCAGCGAAAAGCAUCUGAUGAAGCCUACGGUCAACAUGAGUGGACCCAAUGGAGAGACUCGUCCGAGCAACUUUCUCAUUUUCUUGUUCAGACCCGCGUAUCACAAGGUUGAGCUGCUCUUCCAUUGCAGACAAUCUUUCUGGAUCAUCAACGGCUCUAGAGGUCUCGUUAUCAUUCACAUAGAGAACACAAGCGAUCCUACGGUUAUGAGUCCAUGCUUCAGCUGCCACUACAUUGAAGUGUAGGUCUGCUAGUACAGCUGAGAUCUCAGACAAGAGACCAGGACGGUCACGAGCAAUGAUCUCGAUUGAUGUGUGGUCGCCUAGUGAGUGGACACCGACUCUUUUACCUGGCCAAGUGUUUUGUGAAGACGCAGCAUGACCCUUUGGUCCUAACACCUGACAAGAAGUACAAGAAUCAUAUACUCCCUUUGUUCCACAAUGACACAUUUUUUACAGGUUUCACACAUAUUAAAAAUGAUUAAUGUAUAGCAAUAAAUAUCUUAAUUUUUGUGUAAAAAAACUUCCUAUAAAUUUAAACCAAUAGUUUUAAUCAUAACUACUUGAAUUUAACAUUUUUUUUACUUAUUAAAUAUGCAUACAAACUUUAAAAAAUCUAACUUAAAACAAAUUUUUACAGGUUUUUAUUACAUACCUUCUCGAUGUAAUCAAUUGUUUUGCUAUCAGUAACCUUGUUUCCUUGUUGAUCAGUGACAUGGAAAACUAUUAAAAAAUAUAUAUUUAAUUUUGUAUAUUUUUAAAAUAAAACUAUUAUUAUUAUACAUCUAGCAAUAUUUUAAUUAAUAGAAAAACAAACAAAGAAUAUUGUUAAUAAAUUUUGCAUUAAAAUUUUAAAACAAAUUUUUAUUCUAAAACAAUAUUUAAAUUGAAACGGAUACAGUAGUAACCAAGAAAUGACAUGGAAACAGCAAGCCGUUAACUUUUUCCCUAGUUUCGUGCAUACUUUAGACUAGGCUGUUAGCCUUAUCAUAGGCCGCACUCCAUGCCGUUUUCCACUAUUGCUUUUCGACUUUCCCACCUCUACUCUCCAUUAGUCUUCCCCAUUUCUAGGGCCUAGCCAUAACAGAAAUAUUAGCAAUAAAUGACGUUUGAGAUGAAACUAAUAAUGCAGUUUCAAACUUGGAGGUGGGCCUGAGCAUCGGGUUUCGGUUAUGUCCAAUCGGAUCUCGGUUAUUCGGAUUUAUCAAAAUCAGUCUCAUUCGGAUUAUAUGAAAGUUCGGUUCGAGACUGAUUCGGGUUCUAUCGGGUUCGAGUCGGAAUUAUUAAAUCUUCAAAGAACCGGUACAACCCGUUGUACUUUCGGAUUCGGCUCCCAAUCGAUUCUUCGGUUUAAAAAUACCUUAUUUGUAUUUACUUUGUAACCAUAACAUAAAUAAAAUCGGUUCUUCAGUUUUAAAGUACCUGAUUUACACCUAUUUUGUAACCAAAACAUAACUAAAAUCGAUUUAAAAAUAAGAGAGGAACAUCAAAAUAUUUAUUCAAAAUUAAACGAAAGGUAAACAUAGUUAUUGAUAGAAAGAAAAUCAAAUAAAUGAAAGCAUAAAACGAAAACCCAGUUCUCCUGAAAUGAGAAACAAUAUUCAAUGAAAACAAAACCAAAAUCUAAAAAUUUCAAGAUUGAAUCGUCACUUUCAACCAUCAACCUCCAUGUAAUAGAUAAUUAUUUUAGAUUUUUCAAUAAUAUCUUAGUGUACUUUUCGUUUACAUAUUAUCAAUUGAGAUCAUGUUUGGUACAAAAUAAUUUUUGGGAUUUUGAAUGUUUCGGGGCUUAUCGGAUAUCAAUUUAGGUUUGGGUUCGGUUCGGAUAACACUCAUAACCCAAAAUACCAUAAAAUAAGACUCAUUUGGUAUUUGUGUCGAGUUUGGAUCGGUUUGGAUUCAAUUUUAUCGGAUCAGGUUCAGUUCGGUUCGGAUUUUUGGGAUCGGUUUAUUUGUCCCGUCCUACUUGGAGGAAUUACGAACUUUGGUCCAUUGGUCCAUAAACUUCUAGUAAUUAAGAAAUAAACUCAUACACUCAUUGUCAUGGCCAAGUCAUACACUCAUACAAUACCUAUGUUUAGUCAAUCCUCAUUGUCAUGGCCAAGUCAGUGCACCAACUUAAUAAUUGAAUCACAACAUAGAUUCCUCAGAAAAAAAAAGUUACAUUAAAAAAUGACAAAUCUUAACAAAAUGGAUAUUAUACAUUUGGGACAAAGACAAUAAGGUCGCGAGGACCGAGUUUCAUAUACAAAAGCAAACCUUCCAACAGGAAAAGUUCCAUAUUAUUCUACCAUGUUCAAACGGUGCACUUCACGGUCAUACUAUGACUAAAGUAAAACCAAAAUCCCUGACCAAGUCAAAACACUCCCACUAGACCUUCUAGAUCAUACAUAUUACACAUUUUACAGUUCAUUUUUAUCCACACAAAUGUAACAACAUUUAUAUACAAGUUACCUUGUCUCUCAAGGCAAGAACUUCUCCAGCAAAUUCCCAAAGAAAAAACUGGUUUUGGCCCACCCUCCUCCUGUUCCAGCUUGACCUUCUUCUUUCCAUCUCCUGCUAGGUACCUUGUUCUUCACGUUAAUCAUCAUACUGUGUCCAAUCUCUCCACGUAACGCCUCUAUCGUCUUCACGUCCACUGGAUUCCCUGAAGCAUCUCUCACAUAGAAAACGUUAACCGCUUGUUCUCCAACUGUUGUCACACCAGCUCGAGUCACUGAAAGACCAUGCUCUCUCAGAAUCCUAGUCACUUCAGACAGAAGUCCAACUCUGUCCUUUGCACAUAGCUCCAAACUCCAGCCCUAGAAAUAGUUUCAGACAAUAACUUAAAGAAAUUAUUGCUUGUAACGCGAGAAACACUAAAAGAAGAUGUAUGUGUUUAAGCGUUAACUUACGUAAAUAGAGUUCAGACAAUAACUUAAGGAACUGUUACUUCUAGUGAAAGAAGCAUCAAAAUAAGAUGUGUGUGUUUAAGGGUAAACUUACCUCACUGAAUUGAGUUUCAGACUAUAACCUAAGGAACUGUUGCUUCUAAUGCAAGAAACAUCAAAAGAAGAUGUGUGUGUGUUUAAUGGUUGGCUUGUCUCACUAAAAUUGAGUUUUAGACAAUAACUUAAGGAACUGUUAAUUCUAUUACAAGAAUAAAACUAAAAGAAGAUGUGUGUGGUUAAGGGUUAACUCACCUCUCUGAACUGAGUUUCAGCCAAAAUUAAGAAACUGUUACUUCUAGUGCAAGAAACACAAAAAGAAGAUGUGUGUGUUUUACCUCGCUGACUCUUCUAUGUAUUGCAGCUUCUAGGCAUUUGAUAACUCUCUCUUUCUCUCCUUCAGAGUCAAGAGUGCAACCAUCUUUGUGUCUGAUGAAAUACUCCUGAGAGGCAUGAGGACCGCUCGAUGUAAUCGUGGCGUGAAACACAAUGUACUGCAUAUCAGUAAGCGUGCAUACAAUGUCGAACAUCAGCUUAGCUCUAUCCUCACAGCUCACGCUUAUCACAGAGUAACCUUUCUCUUCACAAUGCUCAACAGUGAUCUUAGGCUCGAGUCCAGAACCAUCAACCUUACUCACUGCAUCAUAGUCUCUAUCAGCGAAAAGCAUCUGAUGAAGCCUACGGUCAACAUGAGUGGACCCAAUGGAGAGACUCGUCCGAGCAACUUUCUCAUUUUCUUGUUCAGACCCGCGUAUCACAAGGUUGAGCUGCUCUUCCAUUGCAGACAAUCUUUCUGGAUCAUCAACGGCUCUAGAGGUCUCGUUAUCAUUCACAUAGAGAACACAAGCGAUCCUACGGUUAUGAGUCCAUGCUUCAGCUGCCACUACAUUGAAGUGUAGGUCUGCUAGUACAGCUGAGAUCUCAGACAAGAGACCAGGACGGUCACGAGCAAUGAUCUCGAUUGAUGUGUGGUCGCCUAGUGAGUGGACACCGACUCUUUUACCUGGCCAAGUGUUUUGUGAA
rnacentral:lncRNA from 1 species